GGUUAAGCGACUAAGCGUACACGGUGGAUGCCCUGGCAGUCAGAGGCGAUGAAGGACGUGCUAAUCUGCGAUAAGCGUCGGUAAGGUGAUAUGAACCGUUAUAACCGGCGAUUUCCGAAUGGGGAAACCCAGUGUGAUUCGUCACACUAUCAUUAACUGAAUCCAUAGGUUAAUGAGGCGAACCGGGGGAACUGAAACAUCUAAGUACCCCGAGGAAAAGAAAUCAACCGAGAUUCCCCCAGUAGCGGCGAGCGAACGGGGAGCAGCCCAGAGCCUGAAUCAGUGUGUGUGUUAGUGGAAGCGUCUGGAAAGGCGUGCGAUACAGGGUGACAGCCCCGUACACAAAAAUGCACAUACUGUGAGCUCGAUGAGUAGGGCGGGACACGUGGUAUCCUGUCUGAAUAUGGGGGGACCAUCCUCCAAGGCUAAAUACUCCUGACUGACCGAUAGUGAACCAGUACCGUGAGGGAAAGGCGAAAAGAACCCCGGCGAGGGGAGUGAAAAAGAACCUGAAACCGUGUACGUACAAGCAGUGGGAGCACGCUUAGGCGUGUGACUGCGUACCUUUUGUAUAAUGGGUCAGCGACUUAUAUUCUGUAGCAAGGUUAACCGAAUAGGGGAGCCGAAGGGAAACCGAGUCUUAACUGGGCGUUAAGUUGCAGGGUAUAGACCCGAAACCCGGUGAUCUAGCCAUGGGCAGGUUGAAGGUUGGGUAACACUAACUGGAGGACCGAACCGACUAAUGUUGAAAAAUUAGCGGAUGACUUGUGGCUGGGGGUGAAAGGCCAAUCAAACCGGGAGAUAGCUGGUUCUCCCCGAAAGCUAUUUAGGUAGCGCCUCGUGAAUUCAUCUCCGGGGGUAGAGCACUGUUUCGGCAAGGGGGUCAUCCCGACUUACCAACCCGAUGCAAACUGCGAAUACCGGAGAAUGUUAUCACGGGAGACACACGGCGGGUGCUAACGUCCGUCGUGAAGAGGGAAACAACCCAGACCGCCAGCUAAGGUCCCAAAGUCAUGGUUAAGUGGGAAACGAUGUGGGAAGGCCCAGACAGCCAGGAUGUUGGCUUAGAAGCAGCCAUCAUUUAAAGAAAGCGUAAUAGCUCACUGGUCGAGUCGGCCUGCGCGGAAGAUGUAACGGGGCUAAACCAUGCACCGAAGCUGCGGCAGCGACGCUGAUGCGUUGUUGGGUAGGGGAGCGUUCUGUAAGCCUGUGAAGGUGUACUGUGAGGUAUGCUGGAGGUAUCAGAAGUGCGAAUGCUGACAUAAGUAACGAUAAAGCGGGUGAAAAGCCCGCUCGCCGGAAGACCAAGGGUUCCUGUCCAACGUUAAUCGGGGCAGGGUGAGUCGACCCCUAAGGCGAGGCCGAAAGGCGUAGUCGAUGGGAAACAGGUUAAUAUUCCUGUACUUGGUGUUACUGCGAAGGGGGGACGGAGAAGGCUAUGUUGGCCGGGCGACGGUUGUCCCGGUUUAAGCGUGUAGGCUGGUUUUCCAGGCAAAUCCGGAAAAUCAAGGCUGAGGCGUGAUGACGAGGCACUACGGUGCUGAAGCAACAAAUGCCCUGCUUCCAGGAAAAGCCUCUAAGCAUCAGGUAACAUCAAAUCGUACCCCAAACCGACACAGGUGGUCAGGUAGAGAAUACCAAGGCGCUUGAGAGAACUCGGGUGAAGGAACUAGGCAAAAUGGUGCCGUAACUUCGGGAGAAGGCACGCUGAUAUGUAGGUGAAGUCCCUCGCGGAUGGAGCUGAAAUCAGUCGAAGAUACCAGCUGGCUGCAACUGUUUAUUAAAAACACAGCACUGUGCAAACACGAAAGUGGACGUAUACGGUGUGACGCCUGCCCGGUGCCGGAAGGUUAAUUGAUGGGGUUAGCGCAAGCGAAGCUCUUGAUCGAAGCCCCGGUAAACGGCGGCCGUAACUAUAACGGUCCUAAGGUAGCGAAAUUCCUUGUCGGGUAAGUUCCGACCUGCACGAAUGGCGUAAUGAUGGCCAGGCUGUCUCCACCCGAGACUCAGUGAAAUUGAACUCGCUGUGAAGAUGCAGUGUACCCGCGGCAAGACGGAAAGACCCCGUGAACCUUUACUAUAGCUUGACACUGAACAUUGAGCCUUGAUGUGUAGGAUAGGUGGGAGGCUUGGAAGUGUGGACGCCAGUCUGCAUGGAGCCGACCUUGAAAUACCACCCUUUAAUGUUUGAUGUUCUAACGUUGACCCGUAAUCCGGGUUGCGGACAGUGUCUGGUGGGUAGUUUGACUGGGGCGGUCUCCUCCUAAAGAGUAACGGAGGAGCACGAAGGUUGGCUAAUCCUGGUCGGACAUCAGGAGGUUAGUGCAAUGGCAUAAGCCAGCUUGACUGCGAGCGUGACGGCGCGAGCAGGUGCGAAAGCAGGUCAUAGUGAUCCGGUGGUUCUGAAUGGAAGGGCCAUCGCUCAACGGAUAAAAGGUACUCCGGGGAUAACAGGCUGAUACCGCCCAAGAGUUCAUAUCGACGGCGGUGUUUGGCACCUCGAUGUCGGCUCAUCACAUCCUGGGGCUGAAGUAGGUCCCAAGGGUAUGGCUGUUCGCCAUUUAAAGUGGUACGCGAGCUGGGUUUAGAACGUCGUGAGACAGUUCGGUCCCUAUCUGCCGUGGGCGCUGGAGAACUGAGGGGGGCUGCUCCUAGUACGAGAGGACCGGAGUGGACGCAUCACUGGUGUUCGGGUUGUCAUGCCAAUGGCACUGCCCGGUAGCUAAAUGCGGAAGAGAUAAGUGCUGAAAGCAUCUAAGCACGAAACUUGCCCCGAGAUGAGUUCUCCCUGACUCCUUGAGAGUCCUGAAGGAACGUUGAAGACGACGACGUUGAUAGGCCGGGUGUGUAAGCGCAGCGAUGCGUUGAGCUAACCGGUACUAAUGAACCGUGAGGCUUAACCUU
rnacentral:rRNA from 1 species